rnacentral:rRNA from 1 species
CUGCCCUUUGUACACACCGCCCGUCGUUACUACCGAUUGAAUGACUUAGUGAAGCCUUUGGACGUGCGAUUGAUGAGGGCGACCUCUGCCGUUGUACGAAAAUUGGAUGAACUUGGCCAUUUAGAGGAAGUACAAGUCGUAACAAGGUUUCCGUAGGUGAACCUUCGGAAGGAUCAUUA